GCAGGCCUAACACAUGCAAGUCGAACGGUAACAGGAAGCAGCUUGCUGCUUUGCUGACGAGUGGCGGACGGGUGAGUAAUGUCUGGGAAACUGCCUGAUGGAGGGGGAUAACUACUGGAAACGGUAGCUAAUACCGCAUAACGUCGCAAGACCAAAGAGGGGGACCUUCGGGCCUCUUGCCAUCGGAUGUGCCCAGAUGGGAUUAGCUAGUAGGUGGGGUAACGGCUCACCUAGGCGACGAUCCCUAGCUGGUCUGAGAGGAUGACCAGCCACACUGGAACUGAGACACGGUCCAGACUCCUACGGGAGGCAGCAGUGGGGAAUAUUGCACAAUGGGCGCAAGCCUGAUGCAGCCAUGCCGCGUGUAUGAAGAAGGCCUUCGGGUUGUAAAGUACUUUCAGCGGGGAGGAAGGGAGUAAAGUUAAUACCUUUGCUCAUUGACGUUACCCGCAGAAGAAGCACCGGCUAACUCCGUGCCAGCAGCCGCGGUAAUACGGAGGGUGCAAGCGUUAAUCGGAAUUACUGGGCGUAAAGCGCACGCAGGCGGUUUGUUAAGUCAGAUGUGAAAUCCCCGGGCUCAACCUGGGAACUGCAUCUGAUACUGGCAAGCUUGAGUCUCGUAGAGGGGGGUAGAAUUCCAGGUGUAGCGGUGAAAUGCGUAGAGAUCUGGAGGAAUACCGGUGGCGAAGGCGGCCCCCUGGACGAAGACUGACGCUCAGGUGCGAAAGCGUGGGGAGCAAACAGGAUUAGAUACCCCUGGUAGUCCACGCCGUAAACGAUGUCGACUUGGAGGUUGUGCCCUUGAGGCGUGGCUUCCGGAGCUAACGCGUUAAGUCGACCGCCUGGGGAGUACGGCCGCAAGGUUAAAACUCAAAUGAAUUGACGGGGGCCCGCACAAGCGGUGGAGCAUGUGGUUUAAUUCGAUGCAACGCGAAGAACCUUACCUGGUCUUGACAUCCACGGAAGUUUUCAGAGAUGAGAAUGUGCCUUCGGGAACCGUGAGACAGGUGCUGCAUGGCUGUCGUCAGCUCGUGUUGUGAAAUGUUGGGUUAAGUCCCGCAACGAGCGCAACCCUUAUCCUUUGUUGCCAGCGGUCCGGCCGGGAACUCAAAGGAGACUGCCAGUGAUAAACUGGGGGAAGGUGGGGAUGACGUCAAGUCAUCAUGGCCCUUACGACCAGGGCUACACACGUGCUACAAUGGCGCAUACAAAGAGAAGCGACCUCGCGAGAGCAAGCGGACCUCAUAAAGUGCGUCGUAGUCCGGAUUGGAGUCUGCAACUCGACUCCAUGAAGUCGGAAUCGCUAGUAAUCGUGGAUCAGAAUGCCACGGUGAAUACGUUCCCGGGCCUUGUACACACCGCCCGUCACACCAUGGGAGUGGGUUGCAAAAGAAGUAGGUAGCUUAACCUUCGGGAGGGCGCUUACCACUUUGUGAUUCAUGACUGGGGUG
rnacentral:rRNA from 1 species